rnacentral:rRNA from 1 species
AGCAGCCGCGGUAAAUUCCAGCUCCAAUAGCGUAUAUUAAAGUUGUUGCAGUUAAAAAGCUCGUAGUUGAAUUUCGGGAUCAGUGGGUCGGUCGUGCCACUGGUAUGUACUGGCCCUACUGAUUCCUCCUUCUUGAGGAACUGUGAUGCCAUUAAUUUGGUGUUGCAGGGAAACAGGACUGUUACUUUGAAAAAUUAGAGUGUUUAAAGCAAGCAAACGCUUGAAUACAUUAGCAUGGAAUAAUGAAAUAGGACGAUCGAACCUAUUUUGUUGGUUUCUAGGAUUGACGUAAUGAUUAAUAGGGAUAGUUGGGGGCAUUAGUAUUCAAUUGUCAGAGGUGAAAUUCUUGGAUUUAUUGAAGACUGACUACUGCGAAAGCAUUUGCCAAGGAUGUUUUCAU